GGGGUUGUGGCUCAGCAGUAGAGCACACGCCUAGAACGUGUGAGGCACUAAGUUCGAUCCUCAGCACCA
rnacentral:tRNA from 1 species